UACGGGGGGGGCAAGCGUUGUUCGGAAUUACUGGGCGUAAAGGGCUCGUAGGCGGCCAACUAAGUCAAACGUGAAAUCCCUCGGCUUAACCGGGGAACUGCGUCUGAUACUGGAUGGCUUGAGUUUGGGAGAGGGAUGCGGAAUUCCAGGUGUAGCGGUGAAAUGCGUAGAUAUCUGGAGGAACACCGGUGGCGAAGGCGGGUCUCUGGACAGUUCCUGACGCUGAGGCACGAAGGCCAGGGGAGCAAACGGG
rnacentral:rRNA from 1 species